AGUUUUCUGCUUUUUGACAUCAGAUGAAACUGAAAGAAAGAACACAAGUAUAUCAGUUUUAGUUUUUAAGAUAAGUCUGAAAAGAAAAGAAAAACAGAGAAGAAGAUGAUGAAAUCUUGAGACCUUAUGAAGAUGAAAUGUUAUAUCAUCAACUUCGAUUUCGAUGUCACUUGCCAUUGGAGGAAAAUAGAAAAUCACAGAAAAAUGAAAGCAAAAUCUCUCGAUGGAAGUGGAAGCAAUUGGGAAUGGUUAUAUUCGGGUUUUUGAGAAAA